CGGGAGGUUCCGCUUUCUGGCGCCCACGCGAGCCAGGAAGCCUGAGCCGCCUCCUAUUCACUCCGUGGAGCCCCCGGCUGGCCACGGCUCCACCCAGGGGGAAAAAUGAAGUGUCCUGGAGGCCUGUCCUGCGAAUGAGAUUGAAUUAACAGACAGCUUUUUUCCUUAAGUCUAACUGCAGCUGAUCGUGUGAUUUUUUCUCAUUUUGAAGCAAAAGGAUGCCAGCUCCAUUGUGAAUGCUCCUUUGACUUUGUCUUUCGGCAUGCCGUGAACCUUUAUACAUGUAUGCUCCAGAAAUUUUUUUAUACCCCCAAUUCCUUCAUUUACUUAAAGAUGAGAACACCUGAGGCACAGAGAUAUUAAGUAACGUUUUGGGAUUCCACAAGCUAGUAAGUGGCAAUGCCAGGAUCCAAACCCAAAUAGUCUAGCCCCAGAGCCUGAGCUUCUAACCAAAAUCCUGGAGGCAAAAAUAAGUCAGUAUGAUAAACGUAAUCUUGAACGUAUGGCCAUGGUCAGAAUGCAGAGAUGGAUUUAUCAAGAAGUUAGAAGCUUGAAUCCAGGACCCCUGACUUGCAAAGGACACUUUCACAUUGGAAGACCUAGCAAUGUGUACACGUGGUAAUAUGUUUCUGUAAAUUUUGAAAAAAAAAAAAGUAUUUUAAUCACCACCAGUUAUGUUCACUGUCUUUUUAAACUGUAACUUACCCUCAUAUUGAGUGACUUUGAAGAGGCCAUGAAGAUUUUGGGGAUCAGCCAAAGAAAGUGAAGUUGGGGAGACCCAAACAGGUUGUUUGGGUGUAAUGGGAUACAGAAUCAGGAUGAAGGUGAGAUAAGGGGGAUGUCAAGGAUGCAAAAUUUAUGACAAAUUGAGCAUUCAGAGGCAAUAUCAAAAAACAACAAAUUUAGAGGGCCCUUACUCUCAGGGUCAGGCAAGUGCCAAUGUUAAGUUUUGAGCCUCAGGUACCUGACUUGCCUCUCCCUCGCCCUGGCUGUGAUGACAG
rnacentral:lncRNA from 1 species